GUGGGGAAUAUUGGACAAUGGGGGGAACCCUGAUCCAGCCAUGCCGCGUGUGUGAAGAAGGCCUUUUGGUUGUAAAGCACUUUAAGCGAGGAGGAGGCUACCGAGAUUAAUACUCUUGGAUAGUGGACGUUACUCGCAGAAUAAGCACCGGCUAACUCUGUGCCAGCAGCCGCGGUAAUACAGAGGGUGCAAGCGUUAAUCGGAUUUACUGGGCAUAAAGCGCGCGUAGUUGGCCAAUUAAGUCAAAUGUGAAAUCCCCGAGCUUAACUUGGGAAUUGCAUUCGAUACUGGUUGGCUAGAGUAUGGGAGAGGAUGGUAGAAUUCCAGGUGUAGCGGUGAAAUGCGUAGAGAUCUGGAGGAAUACCGAUGGCGAAGGCAGCCAUCUGGCCUAAUACUGACACUGAGGUGCGAAAGCAUGGGGAGCAAACAGGAUUAGAAACCCUUGUAGUCC
rnacentral:rRNA from 1 species